AGACAUAGAUGUAGAGACAGAAUAUACAAAAACACAAGCGUGAAAGUAGACAGAUGCAUGCAUAUCUGGUGUUACCAGAGUUUCAGAAACAUGAAGGUUUCUGCUGGUAAAUAAGCUGUUACUCUGCACUUUUUACUUUAAGACACCGUGAAAUUCACUUGCUGUCCCAGAGUGACUCCAAGGACAAUUUUAUAUCAGUUAUGCCUAGUCAUUGUCAAACGCCUAGUUAAGUAGCUUGUAGGUAGCACCGGCUGAUUGCAAAAGUGGCUGCUGAUAAACCUGUCGUGUCUGCAUGAAGAAUGGAUAGUAAUUAAACAUUCAUUUACACAUAAUAUUCGAAGCAGGAAUAUACUAUCUUGUAUUUCUUGAAAUUUCGUAUUUGUGCAU